rnacentral:misc_RNA from 1 species
GAUGAAGAACGUAGCGAAAUGCGAUAAGUAAUGUGAAUUGCAGAAUUCAGUUAAUCAUCGAAUCUUUGAACGCACAUUGCGCCCGCCAGUAUUCUGGCGGGCAUGCCUGUUCGAGCGUCAUUACAACCCUCAGGCCCCCGGGCCUGGCGUUGGGGAUCGGCGGAAGCCCCCUGCGGGCACAACGCCGUCCCCCAAAUACAGUGGCGGUCCCGCCGCAGCUUCCAUUGCGUAGUAGCUAACACCUCGCAACUGGAGAGCGGCGCGGCCACGCCGUAAAACACCCAACUUCUGAAUGUUGACCUCGAAUCAGGUAGGAAUACCCGCUGAACUUAAGCAUAUCAAUAAGCGGAGGA